UGAGCCUCGACUGCUGCGAGCACAGUUGGGGCAUAGCUUUCGCCACCCUGCUCAUCGGCCAAGCUCUCUGCAGUUACUGCCAGCUGCCAUUGCUUCUGCAUAGAUUACAACAGAGUUGUGUUUGGGUAAAAGCAUCUUCAAUCUUGAGGUAAAAUAGAGGGGACCCAGCUUUCUUUACAAUGUGGAUCUACCUCAGUUAAAUAGUUGGGUGCUAUUAAGUAAGUCUGUCAAAUUAAAUUGGAAAAAGUAACCAAACAGUGGGACAUAACUAACUCCACAUGAAACUUGAAAACAUCAUUUCCGUUUCUUUAAUAAUUUUUAUUUAUUUUGUGCCUUUUCUGUUAACCCUAAUGCAUUUCCAAGAUUCAGAAUAGUCAUUUUCUCUUGCAAAUGGGGAGCCCAACUGACCACACAAGUAUUCCAUCCAACUGCUACAGUGCGCUGGGAUCCUAACCUGCCCUCUCUGGGAACCGGGGAAAUGUGUCCUAGAGCAAAUGUCACAUCCCAGACCCCAGCUGGUUUGUGCAUGUAUUCACAGCUGUCACUUUAUUUCUGUGCCAUUUGAAGGGGCAACCCCGAAAACGGACCCCCAAGUACUUUGUGCUCUUUCAGCUGCCUGUGUCUCUCUUCUUUGGCAUGUUUUCUAUAAGACUUUCUUUCAUAAACAGCAAAUGGACUGUUGUCGAGCCCAUCUCCUGGUUUGCACGGUGAAGGUGCUUAACGCCAGGAGCAGAGGCGGGGGCAAGCUCGAGGCUGUCUGGAGGCCAGGCCAGAGGCGGGGAGGAUGCGUGUUCUGCGGCAGCCCGAGGUCUGACUGACCUCAUGGAUGUCCAUUGAGGAAGUAGCAUGACCCUAAAGACACUGGCAGCCUGGCCUGGAGGUGGCGGCCUUCGCAGCUUUCUCUCUCAGCACUCAGCCACACUGACCUGGUCGGGCAGUCUGCAUGGACAGGACAGCUCAGCUGGUGAAGAAAGCCGGAUGCUCAGACACUGCACGUCUCCUGUCCUGAUUAAGCUUAGCUGGGUCCUUUCUAGUCUGUUUUCACAGCUUCCUAGGUUAAAUAGUUUGCACUAUUUUUGCAAUAAAUCCAUGGGAAACCUAACAGCUACUUAUGUUGUUGUUCUUACUGUGUGUAUAAACUAACACUAAAGGUUUGGAAUAGUGUUUUUUUUUUUCCUCCCACCUCAUGUAGCCCCUUAACAUGCACAGAAUGCUGUAAAUCUGAUAUAUGAUGUGAAU
rnacentral:lncRNA from 1 species